GAUGAACGCUGGCGGCGUGCCUAAUACAUGCAAGUCGAGCGAACGGACGAGAAGCUUGCUUCUCUGAUGUUAGCGGCGGACGGGUGAGUAACACGUGGAUAACCUACCUAUAAGACUGGGAUAACUUCGGGAAACCGGAGCUAAUACCGGAUAAUAUUUUGAACCGCAUGGUUCAAAAGUGAAGGACGGUCUUGCUGUCACUUAUAGAUGGAUCCGCGCUGCAUUAGCUAGUUGGUAAGGUAACGGCUUACCAAGGCAACGAUGCAUAGCCGACCUGAGAGGGUGAUCGGCCACACUGGAACUGAGACACGGUCCAGACUCCUACGGGAGGCAGCAGUAGGGAAUCUUCCGCAAUGGGCGAAAGCCUGACGGAGCAACGCCGCGUGAGUGAUGAAGGUCUUCGGAUCGUAAAACUCUGUUAUUAGGGAAGAACAUAUGUGUAAGUAACUGUGCACAUCUUGACGGUACCUAAUCAGAAAGCCACGGCUAACUACGUGCCAGCAGCCGCGGUAAUACGUAGGUGGCAAGCGUUAUCCGGAAUUAUUGGGCGUAAAGCGCGCGUAGGCGGUUUUUUAAGUCUGAUGUGAAAGCCCACGGCCCAACCGUGGAGGGUCAUUGGAAACUGGAAAACUUGAGUGCAGAAGAGGAAAGUGGAAUUCCAUGUGUAGCGGCGAAAUGCGCAGAGAUAUGGAGGAACACCAGUGGCGAAGGCGACUUUCUGGUCUGUAACUGACGCUGAUGUGCGAAAGCGUGGGGAUCAAACAGGAUUAGAUACCCUGGUAGUCCACGCCGUAAACGAUGAGUGCUAAGUGUUAGGGGGUUUCCGCCCCUUAGUGCUGCAGCUAACGCAUUAAGCACUCCGCCUGGGGAGUACGACCGCAAGGUUGAAACUCAAAGGAAUUGACGGGGACCCGUACAAGCGGUGGAGCAUGUGGUUUAAUUCGAAGCAACGCGAAGAACCUUACCAAAUCUUGACAUCCUUUGACAACUCUAGAGAUAGAGCCUUCCCCUUCGGGGGACAAAGUGACAGGUGGUGCAUGGUUGUCGUCAGCUCGUGUCGUGAGAUGUUGGGUUAAGUCCCGCAACGAGCGCAACCCUUAAGCUUAGUUGCCAUCAUUAAGUUGGGCACUCUAAGUUGACUGCCGGUGACAAACCGGAGGAAGGUGGGGGUGACGUCAAAUCAUCAUGCCCCUUAUGAUUUGGGCUACACACGUGCUACAAUGGACAAUACAAAGGGCAGCGAAACCGCGAGGUCAAGCAAAUCCCAUAAAGUUGUUCUCAGUUCGGAUUGUAGUCUGCAACUCGACUACAUGAAGCUGGAAUCGCUAGUAAUCGUAGAUCAGCAUGCUACGGUGAAUACGUUCCCGGGUCU
rnacentral:rRNA from 1 species